GUUAUAUGGUCAAGUGAAGAAGCGCAUACGGUGGAUGCCUUGGCAGUCAGAGGCGAUGAAAGACGUGGUAGCCUGCGAAAAGCUUCGGGGAGUCGGCAAACAGACUUUGAUCCGGAGAUCUCUGAAUGGGGGAACCCACCUAGGAUAACCUAGGUAUCUUGUACUGAAUCCAUAGGUGCAAGAGGCGAACCAGGGGAACUGAAACAUCUAAGUACCCUGAGGAAAAGAAAUCAACCGAGAUUCCCUUAGUAGUGGCGAGCGAACGGGGAUUAGCCCUUAAGCUUCAUUGAUUUUAGCGGAACGCUCUGGAAAGUGCGGCCAUAGUGGGUGAUAGCCACGUACGCGAAAGGAUCUUUGAAGUGAAAUCGAGUAGGACGGAGCACGAGAAACUUUGUCUGAACAUGGGGGGACCAUCCUCCAAGGCUAAAUACUACUGACUGACCGAUAGUGAACCAGUACCGUGAGGGAAAGGCGAAAAGAACCCCGGAGAGGGGAGUGAAAUAGAACCUGAAACCGUAUGCGUACAAGCAGUGGGAGCCUACUUGUUAGGUGACUGCGUACCUUUUGUAUAAUGGGUCAGCGACUUAUAUUCAGUGGCAAGCUUAACCGUAUAGGGUAGGCGUAGCGAAAGCGAGUCUUAAUAGGGCGUUUAGUCGCUGGGUAUAGACCCGAAACCGGGCGAUCUAUCCAUGAGCAGGUUGAAGGUUAGGUAACACUGACUGGAGGACCGAACCCACUCCCGUUGAAAAGGUAGGGGAUGACUUGUGGAUCGGAGUGAAAAGGCUAAUCAAGCUCGGAGAUAGCUGGUUCUCCUCGAAAGCUAUUUAGGUAGCGCCUCAUGUAUCACUCUGGGGGGUAGAGCACUGUUUCGGCUAGGGGGUCAUCCCGACUUACCAAACCGAUGCAAACUCCGAAUACCCAGAAGUGCCGAGCAUGGGAGACACACGGCGGGUGCUAACGUCCGUCGUGAAAAGGGAAACAACCCAGACCGCCAGCUAAGGUCCCAAAGUUGUGGUUAAGUGGUAAACGAUGUGGGAAGGCUUAGACAGCUAGGAGGUUGGCUUAGAAGCAGCCAUCCUUUAAAGAAAGCGUAAUAGCUCACUAGUCGAGUCGGCCUGCGCGGAAGAUGUAACGGGGCUCAAACCACACACCGAAGCUGCGGGUGUCACGUAAGUGACGCGGUAGAGGAGCGUUCUGUAAGCCUGUGAAGGUGAGUUGAGAAGCUUGCUGGAGGUAUCAGAAGUGCGAAUGCUGACAUGAGUAACGACAAUGGGUGUGAAAAACACCCACGCCGAAAGACCAAGGGUUCCUGCGCAACGUUAAUCGACGCAGGGUUAGUCGGUUCCUAAGGCGAGGCUGAAAAGCGUAGUCGAUGGGAAACAGGUUAAUAUUCCUGUACUUCUGGUUACUGCGAUGGAGGGACGGAGAAGGCUAGGCCAGCUUGGCGUUGGUUGUCCAAGUUUAAGGUGGUAGGCUGAAAUCUUAGGUAAAUCCGGGGUUUCAAGGCCGAGAGCUGAUGACGAGUCGUCUUUUAGAUGACGAAGUGGUUGAUGCCAUGCUUCCAAGAAAAGCUUCUAAGCUUCAGGUAACCAGGAACCGUACCCCAAACCGACACAGGUGGUCGGGUAGAGAAUACCAAGGCGCUUGAGAGAACUCGGGUGAAGGAACUAGGCAAAAUGGCACCGUAACUUCGGGAGAAGGUGCGCCGGCUAGGGUGAAGGAUUUACUCCGUAAGCUCUGGCUGGUCGAAGAUACCAGGCCGCUGCGACUGUUUAUUAAAAACACAGCACUCUGCAAACACGAAAGUGGACGUAUAGGGUGUGACGCCUGCCCGGUGCCGGAAGGUUAAUUGAUGGGGUUAGCGCAAGCGAAGCUCUUGAUCGAAGCCCCGGUAAACGGCGGCCGUAACUAUAACGGUCCUAAGGUAGCGAAAUUCCUUGUCGGGUAAGUUCCGACCUGCACGAAUGGCGUAACGAUGGCGGCGCUGUCUCCACCCGAGACUCAGUGAAAUUGAAAUCGCUGUGAAGAUGCAGUGUAUCCGCGGCUAGACGGAAAGACCCCGUGAACCUUUACUGUAGCUUUGCACUGGACUUUGAGCCUGCUUGUGUAGGAUAGGUGGGAGGCUUUGAAGCGUGGACGCCAGUUCGCGUGGAGCCAUCCUUGAAAUACCACCCUGGCAUGCUUGAGGUUCUAACUCUGGUCCGUGAUCCGGAUCGAGGACAGUGUAUGGUGGGCAGUUUGACUGGGGCGGUCUCCUCCUAAAGAGUAACGGAGGAGUACGAAGGUGCGCUCAGACCGGUCGGAAAUCGGUCGCAGAGUAUAAAGGCAAAAGCGCGCUUGACUGCGAGACAGACACGUCGAGCAGGUACGAAAGUAGGUCUUAGUGAUCCGGUGGUUCUGUAUGGAAGGGCCAUCGCUCAACGGAUAAAAGGUACUCCGGGGAUAACAGGCUGAUACCGCCCAAGAGUUCAUAUCGACGGCGGUGUUUGGCACCUCGAUGUCGGCUCAUCACAUCCUGGGGCUGAAGCCGGUCCCAAGGGUAUGGCUGUUCGCCAUUUAAAGUGGUACGCGAGCUGGGUUUAGAACGUCGUGAGACAGUUCGGUCCCUAUCUGCCGUGGACGUUUGAGAUUUGAGAGGGGCUGCUCCUAGUACGAGAGGACCGGAGUGGACGAACCUCUGGUGUUCCGGUUGUCACGCCAGUGGCAUUGCCGGGUAGCUAUGUUCGGAAAAGAUAACCGCUGAAAGCAUCUAAGCGGGAAACUUGCCUCAAGAUGAGAUCUCACUGGGAACUUGAUUCCCCUGAAGGGCCGUCGAAGACUACGACGUUGAUAGGCUGGGUGUGUAAGCGUUGUGAGGCGUUGAGCUAACCAGUACUAAUUGCCCGUGAGGCUUGACCAUAUAACACCCAAACA
rnacentral:rRNA from 1 species